GCAUUUCGCGUAUUGUUUUCCCCCGAGGUUAUGGGUUUCACUCGACUAGCUUCAUGUCAUCCGCAGUACCGCGCAAUGCAGCCGUACGCCCGUGUCCGAACGAUUUGUUCAGGGCGCUGUCUCGUCCAACCAAACGCAACCUAACCUGACCACUGCGAAUCACGACAGACAGACAAACAGUGUACACGCAAUUGUGCUCGACGUGAUUAACGCGUUGUCGCGGGCGGCGGCGUCACAAACUUUAAAUAAUAUAAAAGCAAAUCGU